CCAGAAGCAGGAGAAGGCCGCCACCAUCUGAUGAUGUGCAGGGCCGUGAGCGCAAUGACGGUGGAGAAUGUCAAAGUGCAUCUCCCGGGUCGAACAGUCCUGCUGGAAAGAAGAGAAAGCGAUAAAAAUCUGAUGACGAGCAGACGGAUGACUUGCUCGACAAUUUGAGAAGUGAACUGCAGAAAAGUGAGGAAGAAAGACGAAAUUCAUCAACAAGAAUGGAGAAAGCGCAUAAAACAAUUGAACAACUAGAACAGGAAUUGAAUGCAACAAAGUCUGAAAAAGAAGACGCUUUGAGAAGAUUAAGUGCCCUGAUGUCAACAAAACUACGUGAUAACAAUCCUAACAUCGCCGAUCUCAGUGACCAGUUCAGGCCUACAAAACUGGCGGAGAUGUUCAUUGAAUUGUACGACAACGAGUUGACAGACGCUUUCGAUGUUUUUAACAACGAUUUUUCUGAGAGACAAUCAAUAACUAUACUUCUGGAUAAAG